rnacentral:rRNA from 1 species
GAUGAACGCUAGCUACAGGCUUAACACAUGCAAGUCGAGGGACCGGCGCACGGGUGAGUAACGCGUAUCAAACCUACCCAAUACUCAGUAAUAACCCGUUGAGAGAGGGACUAAUGCCUGAUGGUAUUGGGUGGGGAGGCGUCUGAUUAGUUGGUUGGUGAGGGAACGGCUCACCAAGACUUCGAUCAGUAGGGGAUCUGAGAGGAAGGUCCCCUACAUUGGAACUGAGGCACAGUCCAAACGCCUACGGGAGGCAGCAGUGAGGAAUAUUGGUCAAUGGAUGCAAAUCUGAACCAGCCAAGUGGCGUGAAGGAUGACGGCCUAUGGGUUGUAAACUGCUUUUAUGUGAGAAUAUGUAUCACAUGAAUAAGCACCGGCUAAUUCCGUGCCAGCCGCCGCGGUAAUAC